GUUAUAAGUGGACCAGUCCCUAACAUAUUCUCUAAAUAUAUAGUAUCUUUAGGAAAUGUUGGAAAUAUCAUUACCAAUAAACCAAGUAUUUUACAAUUUUAUUUUGGAUAUAAGCAGUUCUAAAAACUUAUAUUUUGAAUUUGCCAUUUGCAAUGAUUAUAGAAAUGACAGUUUAUCACGUCAUCCCAUAAGUAAUGUUUUUUUUCUUAUGUUCCACAGAACUAUUGCUUCUGGCAACUGGAUAAUGAUGUACACCAAGGUCAUGAUAAGAUGCUGUUCAUGGCACAGCAUGCUCUUCAUGUAAUGUGAGGCGAGAAUAAUAGUUGUACAUGUAUCCCUUGUGCCAUUAAAGUUUAUAGAAAAUAGUGGUGUCUGAAGAGUACAUAAGGCAUAUUAUACUGUAUGAGUUUAAACAAGGGCAAACAGUUACCAUAGUGACAC
rnacentral:lncRNA from 1 species